rnacentral:rRNA from 1 species
GACGAACGCUGGCGGCGUGCUUAACACAUGCAAGUCGAACGGAAAGGCCCUGCUUUUGUGGUGUGCUCGAGUGGCGAACGGGUGAGUAACACGUGUGUAACCUGCCCUUGACUUUGGGAUAACUUCAGGAAACUGGGGCUAAUACCGGAUAGGAGCUCCUGCUGCAUGGUGGGGGUUGGAACGUUUCGGCGGUUGGGGAUGGACUCGCGGCUUAUCAGCUUGUUGGUGGGGUAGUGGCUUACCAAGGCUUUGACGGGUAGCCGGCCUGAGAGCGUGACCGGCCACAUUGGGCCUGAGAUACGGCCCAGACUCCUACGGGAGGCAGCAGUGGGGAAUAUUGCACAAUGGGCGGAAGCCUGAUGCAGCAACGCCGCGUGCGGGAUGACGGCCUUCGGGUUGUAAACCGCUUUCGCCUGUGACGAAGCGUGAGUGACGGUAAUGGGUAAAGAAGCACCGGCUAACUACGUG